GCCCUGUGGUUGCUGGACACUGUUAUCUCCAUACAGUGCUUCAGUUAGUAGAAGAGGGCAAAAAAUAAUACUCUGACUUACGCAUGGAGUCUGAUACUUUAGCAGCCUCCAUAGCCCUGUCAUUGUUACAUUG
ensembl:snoRNA SNORA84 small nucleolar RNA SNORA84